rnacentral:rRNA from 1 species
AGUCGAGCGGAACGAUGGUAGCUUGCUACCAGGCGUCGAGCGGCGGACGGGUGAGUAAUGCUUAGGAAUCUGCCUAGUAGUGGGGGAUAGCCCGGGGAAACUCGGAUUAAUACCGCAUACGCCCUACGGGGGAAAGCAGGGGAUCUUCSGACCUUGCGCUAUUAGAUGAGCCUAAGUCGGAUUAGCUUGUUGGUGGGGUAAUGGCCUACCAAGGCGACKAUCCGUAGCUGGUCUGAGAGGAUGAUCAGCCACAUCGGGACUGAGACACGGCCCGAACUCCUACGGGAGGCAGCAGUGGGGAAUAUUGGACAAUGGGCGCAAGCCUGAUCCAGCCAUGCCGCGUGUGUGAAGAAGGCUUUCGGGUUGUAAAGCACUUUCAGCGAGGAGGAAGGCCUUAACGCUAAUAUCGUUGAGGAUUGACGUCACUCGCAGAAGAAGCACCGGCUAACUCCG